CUUGAUAAGUAUAAUGAGUUGGUACCACCCGAUACAUUCCGAACUCGCAGGUGAAACGAUAUCAUGCCGAUUGUACUUUGGUCUCUACCAUGGGAGAUUAGGUUAUUGUCAAGC
rnacentral:rRNA from 1 species